AGCUUUGUGCAGUGGCAGUGUUGUAGCCAAUGAGGUCUAUCUGAGGUACAAUUAUUGCUAAUUGAAAACUUUUCCCAAUGCCCUGCUGUGAUGACUUGUAACAUAGUCAGCAUUGGCAAUUUUUCUUUUUUUCUUUUCUUUUUUUGCAGUUUUUGGCCAGGGCCAGGCUUGAAC
rnacentral:snRNA from 13 species